AGUGAACGCUGGCGGUAGGCCUAACACAUGCAAGUCGAACGGCAGCACAGUGAGAGCUUGCUCUUACGGGUGGCGAGUGGCGGACGGGUGAGGAAUACAUCGGAAUCUACUUUUUCGUGGGGGAUAACGUAGGGAAACUUACGCUAAUACCGCAUACGACCUACGGGUGAAAGCAGGGGAUCUUCGGACCUUGCGCGAUUGAAUGAGCCGAUGUCGGAUUAGCUAGUUGGCGGGGUAAAGGCCCACCAAGGCGACGAUCCGUAGCUGGUCUGAGAGGAUGAUCAGCCACACUGGAACUGAGACACGGUCCAGACUCCUACGGGAGGCAGCAGUGGGGAAUAUUGGACAAUGGGCGCAAGCCUGAUCCAGCCAUACCGCGUGGGUGAAGAAGGCCUUCGGGUUGUAAAGCCCUUUUGUUGGGAAAGAAAAGCAGCAGGUUAAUACCCCGCUGCUCUGACGGUACCCAAAGAAUAAGCACCGGCUAACUUCGUG
rnacentral:rRNA from 1 species